rnacentral:tRNA from 1 species
GAGUCGCUAGCUCAGUUGGUAGAGCACAUCCCUUUUAAGGAUGGGGUCCUGGGUUCGAGGCCCAGGCGACUCA